CUCCUACGGGGCGCAGCAGUGGGGAAUAUUGCACAAUGGGGGGAACCCUGAUGCAGCGACGCCGCGUGAGUGAAGAGGUAUUUCGGUAUGUAAAGCUCUAUCAGCAGGGAAGAAAAUGACGGUACCUGACUAAGAAGCCCCGGCUAACUACGUGCCAGCAGCCGCGGUAAUACGUGGGUGGCAAGCGUUGUCCGGAUUUACUGGGUGUAAAGGGCGUGCAGCCGGGAAGACAAGUCAUAUGUGAAAUCCCGCGGCUCAACCGCGGAACUGCAUUUGAAACUGUUUUUCUUGAGUACCGGAGAGGU
rnacentral:rRNA from 1 species